CAUGAGAGAGCUGAUGUGGCUGGUGUGGUACAGAGAAGCCAGCUCGUUUACAUGCUUAAUCCAUG
rfam:Heterocephalus glaber contig127759, whole genome shotgun sequence.